CAGAUUUAAGGUUGGAGGUAGAGCCAACUUAAAAGCUGCUGGUUAUUUCCCUAUUUCACACUCGACAGAAUUCACACAAUCUUUGUCUUCCGCACUGGUCGCACUGCAUAUUUCACCAAAAAGACAUACGCUUGCAUGUCACACACCAGAUCCGUCCAACUUUCUUGAUGCAACUGGAAAUUUAUUUAUUUGCCAAUCCCAAAAGUGUUGCCAGCUCGAGAUGGGGGGCUUUGCAGUUUGUUUAUCAUUGACCAUCACAGAGGCGCCAGUGUGAAAUAAAGUAUUUUUAGAUGUUGACAUAAUGGCUCGAAGAGGGAGGAGACCAUGAAUUUUUCAUAGCGGCUCACAGAGAGAGGUCAUUUGCCACUCUUCGCAUUAAAAGAGGGGAGAAAAAAAAAACGAAUUUCUACAAGGCUGCGAGCUGAUUUCACCCCUCUGAAAAUAAACUGAUCAGCGACCCAAAGACACACAGACACAAAACCCUACUGAACGCUGAAAAAAAGAUGGCUUCCCUUGCUGUCCAGCAGUUCAGAAACAAACACACCAACUGAAAACUCUAAAUUCCUGGCAGUUGUGCCACUCUCCUCGAAUUCCCAGCAAGCAUCAUCUAUUGAACACCGUGCUAGCAAGUUAACGUUAUCAUUUGGGAGAGGACAAUAACAAAAGGUGUCCAGUACAGUAACGUCACACUGUCCAGCAAUUCUUUAGUAGCUUCCAUGGGAAUGGAUUUGUUUUGUUGCCUCUAACAGCAUUAUUAGACAGUUCGCAUUUCAUUUGACCAUUUAACCUCCAUUUACAGCUUCGCCUGUCUCUAAAGAGUGGAUCCGAACCAGACUGUGUGUCCGUGUGUGCGCCUGUGUAUAAUCCUAUUUGAAGUAUUCUCAGCAUUCUCAAUGCAUUGAGCAGUUGAGCAUAAAUCAGAGUGACAGACUUAAAAGAAAAGGCUUUGCAUUAAAGAGUCCAGGUCAAGGGGAUGGGUCUUAAACACACACACACACACAGUUCCUUUCUUCUCUGAAAUAUUAGCACACUCGGAGUGCAAACAGACGAGUGAAAGUGCAUCGCUCAAAGUGUCAAUUAAGCGGCACAUCAAUACUUUCAUUUUAGCUCCGCGACAUCAUCUCGUUUGCAGUGUGACAUUUUAAUCAAGCCUUGCAUAGGUCACGCACAACGUACCAUCCGGUCAUGCAAGUCACAAACAUUAUUUGCUUCCUCACCUCUUCUCUCCAGAAAUGCACCUAUGUCACCAACACACAAAGGAACGUCGUAAGAGGCACGAGGCCUGCGCUUCUACGGCUGUCGCUUGGCAUGUGCACUCAAGUCAGUAAGCUUUGAGCUGGUGUUAGGUUGCCGGCAGAGUCUUUCUCUUUAAGCAUGGCUGGGCAGCAAUGAGCCUACUCCAAAUGUUACACGCCAUUCAGGCCCUGUUGUUGUGUGUGUGUGAGUACACUAUGCAUUGUCGACUCCCAAUUGUUCAUGCACUACAAUUUAACAAGCAAGUGAAUCGGUACCAUAAUAUUAAGCAGGAAAUGUGAAGAUACGAGUAGGCGCAUCCAUAAACAUGCACACAAACCGGUGUCAAAACAACAAUGCCUAUUUAUCUGCUCCCAAUCACUGUGCUGCUGACGAUUAUUAAUCAUGUUAGUGUGUUAUUGUCUUGAAAAUGAAAUUAUAUGAAAAUAAAUGUUUCUGCAAUUAGCUGUCAUGCCUCCCAUUGACAGGGAAUGAUUAAAGCGAAGACACUGACUAAUUGGGCUUUGAAUAAUGAAAUGAUAUGUAUGCUGACUUUUAAGCAGGUGUGAUAGCAGAAGCAACAAGGAGAUGAUAAAACAUCUGGCCAUGCCGGACAGGUUCUGUCAAUCAUUCCAGCCUCUGUGAAUCCCAUUACCAUGACAACCCCCAGCCAAUAACAUCUGUACUGGCCUUUACCGAGGAAAAGGGGCCACUAUAUGUGACAAUAUUAGCAUCAUUACUGUAAAAAAUGGUGCCCUCUUGCAGCUUUUAUUUGACGUGAGAUCAAACAUGCGCAUGCUCUCUCCGUCUUACAUGCUGUGGCCUGCCGUGGGUCGUAUAAAAAAAACUAUGUUGUUUCUGUCAUGAUAUAAAUGACACUUCAGAGUUUGAAAGUGCUCCUAUCAAUCACUCCAACUUUAAUGUGAAAUAAUAAAAUCAGUUUAAGUUUUUCUGUUGUCCGUUUCUUCUCCCCCUCCCUGUCUCUCAAGUGAACAAAGGCCAAGUUCAAGGCAACAUCAAAAAUUGAUUUCAGCUACACUUCAGAUUAGUCAAAGGUCUCAGAGCACACGCACAGGCACGCACACACACACACACACACACACACACACACACACACACACACACACACACACACACACACACACAUGCAAUCUCUCCUUGUUUUAUUACAUACCAUUUAUUCCAGCCUCAUAUACAAGUCUCUUUGCAAACAAAAAUAAUCAAACAUGCCUGUAAUGUUUCUUAUUUCAUAAAAAAUUCAACUUUGAACGUGUAUAAACAUGUACUCGGACAAAAAGGAUACACUGAAGUAAUAUCUAAUUUGCAAAAGACACCCAUAUUUGUAUUUCAAACAUUUAACACUACAAAUGCACAAGUAUGAGCCACAUUUUACAAUAUCACAUGACCUUAUUGACCUAAACGAGAGUAUUUUGAUAAAAAUGUCUAAUGUUUGCUUGAAAAGCAAUGUAAUAAAAUAAAAUACAUCAACAAAAGCUUCAGUGUAAAAAGUCUAAACUAGUCAGAACAACCAGACUGGAACAUGUUUUUUUUUAAAGCUAUACUUAAACUAUUAAAUAUUUGGGAGGAAAAAAUCAUUAAAAUAUAGAAAGCCAGUAGCUUCAGUGGGAGGCCAUGUCUCUGCUUCAUUCACUGACUUUAGCGGGAAGGUAUUGUACGCUAACAUUUAAACAAAAGAGCAUUUAGGAUGGGCCAGGAAUCUUUCACCAAUCACUAUCGUCAGUAUCAGCUUUCAGUGCAAUUACAGUACAUGGUGAUACUUCAGUACCUUGCUCUCUUCUACACUGUUUUCAGUCAGUCAGUGUGUGUGUGUGUGUGUGUGUGUGUGCACGGCGAGUUUCUUGCUUCUUUAUCUGUUGAAACACAACCCUCAGGUAUGUGUUCAUAAGUCAAAUCUAACUGAUAACAUGUUUUAAUCCAACUGCUUUCAGAAUAUAGUUUGAGUGUUUGGAUAGUCUACACUUCCUAGAUGUGCUUUAGAGGUUUGCUUAAAUGAUGUGGAGAUCAGACAUUAUUAUCGUCACACUUAUUUCCUUUAAAGUCACCAUAGCGAUGUGUUGCAGUCAACAAAGUGCAUGCUGUGAUGACUUGUGUUACAUAAGUAACACAUAAAUAAAUCAACUAAUUACAUAAACAUCACAUAUUUUCUCUUUAAUUUAAGAGAAAAAUAAGUUGAUCAGAAAACUCUCUCAUAUGCAAACAGACUUUCCAUAUAAAAAAAAGAGCUAGAAUUGGAUACUGAAUAUGCGCGGUCUCAUAUUGCAGAAAUUCACAUAUAAGAGAAUGUUUGUUUAUGAGCGCCGCCUAACAAUUUGAAUGAAUUCUGUAGUUAAUCAACCAUUGGGCAUUCAGUCAGAGGUGGGAAUUAAACUAAAACAAACAUGAAAGAAGCACACCAAUCAAAGAAAAAUCACUAUGAGCAGUCAAGUUAACCUUUAUAUAUUUUCUGGAGACACAGCUAUCUUAUGCCAUCUUCAGCACAGUGCGAAUAUGUGAAUUGGCCAAUGCAGUUCUCAGUAGAUUCCCUCAGAUAAAGCAGGACACAAACACCCCCUCGAACACAGCCCAAUUUUCUACCCACAGCAAAACAUGCCCAUGGUCCAACCCGCAGCCGUGCAUACACUCACACACCUGGGGGUCCAGAUUGGAGAAACCCAGUCCAGGAUGCAGAUCCAUUCACCUGCUGCACAGAGGAAGUGAGCGCACUGACAAAAACAUGGAGUUUUCGACUUGUUUCCCUUCAGGCCCCAGAUUUUAUACAGGACAUCUUAAUUAGUC